rnacentral:rRNA from 1 species
GGGAACUGAGGAUAAUACCCCAUAGGUCUUCUCUGCUGGAAUGCUUGAAGGCCGAAAACUCCGGUGCCUUAGGAUUGGUCUGCGGCCUAUCAGGUUGUAGUGGGUGUAAUGGACCCACUAGCCCGUGACGGGUAUGGGCCUUGAGAGAGGGAGCCCAGAGAUGGACUCUGAGACAUGAGUCCAGGCCCUACGGGGCGCAGCAGUCGCGAAAACUUCGCAAUGGGGGCAACCCCGACGAGGGAAUUCCAAGUGCCAGCACUUUGUGUUGGCUGUUCUCCUGUCUAAAAAACAGGAGGAGUAAGGGGCGGGUAAGACGGGUGCCAGCCGCCGCGGUAAUACCCGCGCCCCUAGUGGUGGUCGAUAUUAUUGAGCCUAAAACGUCCGUAGCCGGUCUUUUAAAUCUUUGGGCAAAUCGGGCAGCUUAACUGUCCGACUUCCGAGGAGACUGGAAGACUUGGGACCGGGAGAGGUCAGAGGUACUUCUGGGGUAGGGGUAAAAUCCUGUAAUCCUGGAAGGACCACCGGUGGCGAAGGCGUCUGACUAGAACGGAUCCGACGGUGUGGGACGAAGCCCUGGGGCGCAAACGGGAUUAGAUACCCCGGUAGUCCAGGGUGUAAACGCUGCGGGCUUGGUGUUGGGGGUCCUUCGUGGGCGCCCAGUGCCGGAGAGAAGUUGUUAAGCCUGCUGCUUGGGGAGUAUGUCCGCAAGGAUGAAACUUAAAGGAAUUGGCGGGG